UUGGCAGUGCAUUGCUAGCUGGCUGUUGUGUACGUGUGUUAACAGUUGCUAGCUGUACUCCAUAU
rnacentral:pre_miRNA from 1 species